rnacentral:rRNA from 1 species
UACAGAGGUCCCAAGCGUUGUUCGGAUUCACUGGGCGUAAAGGGUGCGUAGGUGGUGAGGUAAGUCGGAUGUGAAAUCUCGGAGCUCAACUCCGAAACGGCAUUGGAAACUGCGUUGCUAGAGGGUUGGAGGGGGGACUGGAAUGCUUGGUGUAGCAGUGAAAUGCGUAGAUAUCAAGCGGAACACCAGUGGCGAAGGCGAGUCCCUGGACAACACCUGACACUGAGGCACGAAAGCUAGGGGAGCAAACAGG